rnacentral:rRNA from 1 species
AACGAACGCUGGCGGCAGGCUUAACACAUGCAAGUCGAACGCAUCCUUCGGGGUGAGUGGCAGACGGGUGAGUAACGCGUGGGAACGUGCCCUUCAGUUCGGGAUAACCCAGGGGAACUUGGGCUAAUACCGGAUACGUGCGAGAGCAGAAAGAUUUAUCGCUGAAGGAUCGGCCCGCGUCUGAUUAGCUAGUUGGUGGGGUAAGGGCCCACCAAGGCGACGAUCAGUAGCUGGUCUGAGAGGAUGAUCAGCCACAUUGGGACUGAGACACGGCCCAAACUCCUACGGGAGGCAGCAGUGGGGAAUAUUGGACAAUGGGCGCAAGCCUGAUCCAGCCACGCCGCGUGAGUGAUGAAGGCCUUAGGGUUGUAAAGCUCUUUCGUCCGGGACGAUAAUGACGGUACCGGAAGAAGAAGCCCCGGCUAACUUCGUGCCAGCAGCCGCCGCCG